rnacentral:lncRNA from 1 species
GAGCUACACUGUUAAGGACCAAAUCUCAACAUGGAUUUUGGGGUGGGGAAAAUCACUUUGAAAUUGGGGCAGAUGGGAACCCGAGAGGGAGGUCACAUGGGGGGAGCUCACGUGUGCAGUGCCAUAGAAUGCCACGUGGAAGCACUUUCUCCCCAGCUCCGUGCUCCUGGCUCACAGGGAAGGAGAGACUGCACCUACAGAGACAAAAUGAAAGUGGAAUUCUCCAGAGAGCCUCAAGGAGCAAGGCAACUGGAACAGACCAGCAGGUGCCGUGAUUUGCAGGGAGAGUGCAGGAUUCUGCUCCCAAACAUGAGUCCUUCAAAAGGCAACACCUGUUUCUCUCACCAGAGCUUUUUUGAAGGAGUAUAAGCAAAAACAUUCGGCUGGUAAAAGCGGGCUGAACUAGAGGCCAUCCGACUGUGCUGGGAGUUACAGUAAGGAAGCCACCCCCGCGUGACUCCCAGGCCCAGAGAACUUGGCGACACCCCGAAGCCACCUUUCAUCGAAUCCUUAACAUGUUCGGUAAAUGUGCACUUGGCACCCUAGACGGUCAGGCUUUGGAAAAAUCCACAGGUAUGGGCUUUGGGAUGAUCGCGCCACAUGAGGCUGCCCACGGAGACAGCACGUACAGUAAGCCCCCGACGGACGAACAUUCGCGCUGUGGACUUCCACGGACACAGAGGGGUCUCGCGGUCCGUAGGCGCGAGCGGGUCGUGGGAGCGGCUCCCGUGUCUGCCCGACACGGUCGCUGCUGUGCUGCCGCGUGCUCCCUGCACAGUGCGAGGGUGCGCAGUAGCGCGGUGCUCAGAGCCCAG